CCUACGGGGGGCUGCAGUGGGGAAUAUUGCACAAUGGGCGCAAGCCUGAUGCAGCCAUGCCGCGUGUGUGAAGAAGGCCUUCGGGUUGUAAAGCACUUUCAGCGGGGAGGAAGGCGUUAAGGUUAAUAACCUUGGCGAUUGACGUUACCCGCAGAAGAAGCACCGGCUAACUCCGUGCCAGCAGCCGCGGUAAUACGGAGGGUGCAAGCGUUAAUCGGAAUUACUGGGCGUAAAGCGCACGCAGGCGGUCUGUCAAGUCGGAUGUGAAAUCCCCGGACUCAACCUGGGAACUGCAUUCGAAACUGGCAGGCUAGAGUCUUGUAGAGGGGGGUAGAAUUCCAGGUGUAGCGGUGAAAUGCGUAGAGAUCUGGAGGAAUACCGGUGGCGAAGGCGGCCCCCUGGACAAAGACUGACGCUCAGGUGCGAAAGCGUGGGGAGCAAACAGGAUUAGAUACCCCAGUAGUC
rnacentral:rRNA from 1 species